rnacentral:rRNA from 1 species
ACGAACCGGACGAACGUUAUUCGGAAUCACUGGGCUUAAAGGGUGCGUAGGCGGCUUAGAAAGUUGGGUGUGAAAGCCCUCGGCUCAACCGAGGAAUUGCGCUCAAAACUAUUAGGCUUGAGGGAGAUAGGGGUGAGUGGAACUGAUGGUGGAGCGGUGAAAUGCGUUGAUAUCAUCAGGAACACCGGUGGCGAAGGCGACUCACUGGAUCUCUUCUGACGCUGAGGCACGAAAGCUAGGGUAGCGAACGGG